rnacentral:rRNA from 1 species
CCCAAUCCUGACACAGGGAGGUAGUGACAAUAAAUAACAAUGCUCUGGCUCUUCGAGUCGGGCAAUUGGAAUGAGAACAAUUUAAAUCCCUUAUCGAGGAUCAAUUGGAGGGCAAGUCUGGUGCCAGCAGCCGCGGUAAUUCCAGCUCCAAUAGCGUAUAUUAAAGUUGUUGCAGUUAAAAAGCUCGUAGUUGGAUUUCUGCUUUGAGCGUCCGGUCCGCUCCUUUGGAGUGUGUUACUAGGAUGGUUGAGGCAUUUUUUGUGAGGACGCCCUUCUGCCAUUCAGUUGGUGGUUGGAUGGACUUGCAUCGUUUACUGUGAAAAAAUUAGAGUGUUUAAAGCAGGCGUUUGCUCAUUGAAUACAUUAGCAUGGAAUAAUAAGAUACGACCUUGGUGGUCUAUUUUGUUGGUUUGCACACCAGGGUAAUGAUUAAUAGGGACAGUUGGGGGUAUUCAUAUUGCAGCGUCAGAGGUGAAAUUCUUGGAUCGCUGCAAGAUGAGCUUAGGCGAAAGCAUUUACCAAGGAUGUUUUCAUUAAUCAAGAACGAAAGUUAAGGGAUCGAAGAUGAUUAGAUACCAUCGUAGUCUUAACCAUAAACUAUGCCGACUCGGGAUUGGCAGUCGUUUUUUUAAUGACCUUGUCAGCACCGUAUGAGAAAUCA